CCAUCUGCUGGAUUAUGGCUGAACGCCUCUAAGUCAGAAUCUGUACUGGAAACGAUGAUGUUGGUCCCGCACGUAUUAGUUGUGUCAAAAUAGGCUUCGGCUGUGAACCAUAUUAGGUGGAUUUGGCUGCUUGGACGGAAAGGUCCUUGUAGUUUGUCUACGUAUUGAAAUUGAAUAUGCGCGGGGGUGAAUCCUUUGCAGACGACUUGAAUA
rnacentral:rRNA from 1 species